CAACGUCCGAUUCUGCCUCGAAGGCAUGGAGGAGUCAGGCUCUGAGGGCCUAGACGAGCUGAUUUUUGCCCAGAAAGACACAUUCUUUAAGGAUGUGGACUAUGUCUGCAUUUCUGACAAUUACUGGCUGGGAAAGAAGAAGCCCUGCAUCACCUACGGCCUCAGGGGCAUUUGCUACUUUUUCAUCGAGGUGGAGUGCAGCAACAAAGACCUCCAUUCUGGGGUGUACGGGGGCUCGGUGCACGAGGCCAUGACUGAUCUCAUUUUGCUGAUGGGCUCUUUGGUGGACAAGAGGGGGAACAUCCUGAUCCCCGGCAUUAACGAGGCCGUGGCCGCCGUCACGGAAGAGGAGCACAAGCUGUACGACGACAUCGACUUUGACAUAGAGGAGUUUGCCAAGGAUGUGGGGGCGCAGAUCCUCCUGCACAGCAACAAGGUCUGGUUCAGGGCUCGACUCUGCCACCUGCCCGGGCCACGCUGUGACACAGGUGUCCCCCAGGCCCUGUCACCUUCCCUGGGUCCAGGGGGUCUCUGA
rnacentral:sRNA from 1 species